GGAUUUGAUUUAGGAUUAGGAUUUGAUUUAGGAUUUAGGAUUUUGUUAGGAUUUGGUUCGGAUUUGAUUUAGGAUUUAGGAUUUGGUUAGGAUUUGAUUUAGGAUUUAGGAUUUGGUUUAGGAUUUAGAGUUUGAUUUAGGAUUUAAGAUUUGAUUAGGAUUUGAUUAAGAUUUGAUUUAGAAUUUAGGAUUUUAUUUGAGUUUGUUUAAGAUUUUAGAUUUAGUUAGUUUUUGGCCUAAAAUUUGAAUGAAGUAAGAUUUCAACUAGGAUCAAAUUAAGAUUGAAUUGAAAUGUAUUUGAGAUAUAUUUGUAAUCAUUCUAAUAUUUCUUUAAGAUUUUGUAUUAUUUCUUUGGAAUUCCUUUGAGGUUUCUCUGAAUUUGAUUAAAGCUUGUUUAGCAUUGUUAGUAUUCUAUUAGAAUUAGGAUUUUGUUAUUGUAAUUUCUAUUCUACCUUCCACAGCCAAGUACCCGGAGCAUUCUCAAGCAAGAC
rnacentral:lncRNA from 1 species